rnacentral:rRNA from 1 species
UACGAAGGGGGCUAGCGUUGCUCGGAAUCACUGGGCGUAAAGCGCACGUAGGCGGAUUGCUAAGUCAGGGGUGAAAUCCUGGAGCUCAACUCCAGAACUGCCUUUGAUACUGGCGAUCUUGAGUCCGGGAGAGGUGAGUGGAACUGCGAGUGUAGAGGUGAAAUUCGUAGAUAUUCGGAAGAACACCAGUGGCGAAGGCGACUCACUGGACACAUAUUGACGCUGAGGUGCGAAAGCGUGGGGAGCAAACAGG